GUGCCUGGGGCUGCGGAGGGUGGGCGGCAGGGGGGCUCCCGCCUCAGGCCUGCAGCAGGCCCGUUUGCCGGACUGUUCUGGUCUGCCUGCCCCUCCUCAGCACAGCCUCUCUGAUGAUGCUCUUUCAGGCUGGGAGGUUCUGUCCAGACAGCCCAUGGGGACAGGGGGCUGCCCCUGCAGUGGGUAUUACCAUUCCAGGCAUUUGGGCCUUGGCAAAGCAAUGUUGGUCUCCCAGGGAGUUUUGUGGAGGGCGAACGGAUGUCCGCCUUGGAUGGCCACCGGUCGGAGCAGAGAGCGGUGGUGGUCGUGACACUGGCCUCCAUGGACUUGUUUCGACCAAUUUGAAACGGGGGCUGGUAUCGGCCAGACUGUCCUGACAGUUCUUCUAAUGCAGACUUUCUGAGUUUUCUGAUGUCAGAUGCGGCCCCUGAAAUGAGGAGUUUCAGGUGGGAGCCACUUGCUUGCGAGAGGGGGUGUGAAGCUGGGGUGUCCCAAGCCUGGGCCGCCGGGUGUCAAAGGCACUUUGGGUGGGUGUCGGUAAAGCCUUUCUGGCGUGCAGCUGAGGCGCCAGGAGAGGGGCUGCCGGGCACUCGGGGCAGGAGCCCGGGUGGGGCUCCCCUCCGCUGCAGGACUCUCCUCUGAAAGGCCUGUGAUGGUUCCGGGGGGUCCCUGCGGCCAAGGCUGUGGGCAUGCACGUGGAGGCAGAGCUGGCUCUGGGUCUGCCUUCCUUUUUCCCUUUGAGGCAAGCAGAUAGCUUUCAGGGCCCUGUGUGGAGGGCAGUGUUGGUUUCUGGAAAGGUCCAUGGGCAUGAAAGAGGAGGUGCACAUGGCCCCAGGAGCUCUCACAUGGGGCAGGUCUUGGCCCUUGUGCCAUGAGCGAGUUCAGGGUCCUGGUCUUUUAGACACCCAGGCUAAGCACAGCCUCACUCUGAGGUGCAGACAACCGCGUGCGGUCCAAGUGUGUGGGGUGGGCCGGGCGGGGCUCCAGGUGCCCUGUCCCCGUCAGUUCCAAAGUGAGUUGGUUGGUAGCACGAUGCCUUCUGGGGAGAAGACAUGAGCUUGGAUUUUCCUGGGAGCAGUUUCCAGGAAGCCAUUCCUGGGGUGAGCAGCCAGGAUGCAAGCGAGGGAGUGUGGAGGCCAGCCAGGGGUGCUGCAAAGACUCCACAGGGCACGGGGCAGUCCCAGCACAGAGUGACCCAGCCCCUGACAUCAGCAGUGCCAACUGGAAACAGCUGGUUCUGAGGUGGGCCACCCCGAGAACAGCAUGAUUCCAUUUUAGUGAAUUGGGUGAACAUGGUUUCAACUGGGGAAGGCAGAUUGCUAGGAUUUGAAGUGUAGAUUUUCCUCCUGAAUGUGAGUCCACAUCCCAUUGUUCUAAAUUCUUGGCUCAGAUCAGAUUUCAAAACCUUGAAUCUUUCUCUGUUAGAGAGCUUCACCCAAGCCCCCCGGUGCCCGAUGCCCAGGUAGGAGCCCCUGGUGCCUGAUGCCCAGGUAGGAGCCCCCCAGUGCCCGAUGCCCAGGUAGGAGCCCCCAGUGCCCGAUGCCCAGGUAGGAGCCCCCACUCCCGCCAAGUGCCUGACUGCCUAGGUAGGACCCUGUGGUAAUGUAGGACUGCUGUGAACCCCAGGCCCAGAAUAAAAUCUUAACCACAACAGCCUUUAUCUUGAUCACCAGUGAUUAGGGUGAAUGUGAGAGCUGGGGAGGAGACCCUGGCCUCACUCUGGGGGCCCUAGAGAUAAUAAACUAGCAGGAAAAUCAGAAUCUGGGAAAAACUCCUGACCAAAUUCAGUGUUUCUGGCCAUGGAGGCCAGCUGAUUGGGGCAGGAGUUAGAAUUUUGUUAAUGUCCCUUUCAGGGAUUAAAUUAAUUGCUUUUAAAGAUGUCUGGUGGCUGGUCACCAUUCUCUUCUGGCCUGAGCUUUGUUCCACAUUGCAGUGUGAUUCUUACCAGAUUCUGUGCAACCGCAGCUGCACACCUGGGCCCUCCUCUGCCUCCCCUCCUGAAGGAGAUGCCCGGCAGCAGAGGCGAGCGCACGCCCUCUGUGAUCCUACCUGCUGGGGAGGUGGGCGAGCCUGCUCCCCCGCUGAUGCAUCACAAGCUCUAGUUUGUGCUGAUGUGAGAGAAAAGAGGCUCUGUGGGCUGGAGGCCCUGAGAGAGGCGUGUGUGAGCCUCGCCCUGCCUCUGCCACUGCUGUGGAGCCGGGCGCCCUGGGUUCCCGGAGGGCGUGCUGGCCGUGCGUGCGUCCAGGUUGCACAAUCAGCUUCUGCAUAUGAAGCUAGACACACUGGGUCGGAGAGGCGGGCAGGGAGGUGUGGAAGGAGAGCAGGCUGCUCCCUGACCGGUACCCGGGACUUUCAGGAGGGGCAGGCCUGCGCCCUGUGCCUCCAACCCCGCCGCGGGCCUCGCCGGGCACCUGGGUAAAGCAGACAUUCCUUCCCUUGGUACUGGGAACUUCUGGCAGGAUGUGGAAGUGAGCAUGUAGCCGGAUCCAGCUGAUGGAUGAUGAAGCUCCGUGUGAGCUGAGGCCUCACAGUGGUCCAGCUGGGCUCUCUGGGGACUGUCCACCCUGCGGUCUCAGUGCACUUGGGGAAAAAGGCCCCACCAGGACCCCCUUCACCCAGUGGGCUGGGAUACCUGUGGGGUGUCCAGAGAGGGUGGGCUUGUUGUUCUGGGGGAUGGAGACAGACCCCACCUCAGUGUGUCCAGGGCAGCCUGGGUGGGCCCUGGAUUCCAGUCUGUUCUUUUGCUACUCAGGGCCAUGUAGCAGGGGCACACCAGCUUGGUCACAUCUGUGCUCUGGGUUUUGGGGUUUGGGCUGUCUACGUACCCACCCCACAGUCUCCUGGUGGGUAGGCAGGAGGACGGCAGGGUUUUAGCCCCACUGCUUUGGGGAGGACACGGGCAGGAUGCUGUUCCCGUGCUGGCGGGGAGCACAGGUCACUCCCGUCACUGGCCAGCGUGCUGUGCCUGCAGGGGUGGUGUGGUCUCUCGGUUUCUGAUGGCUUCGUCUCCCCUUCCCCUUUAGAACCUGCUCUUGUCUGAUCUGGGGUGAAUGGUCCCUGUAGGUGGGCCCAGCAAGUACAAGAGCCCCUGCUGAGGCACCUCAGGGUGGGCUGGCCCCAGCGGGCUGCGGGGGGCAAGCAGCCAAGUUCAGAAGAUGUGCGGAGUCCUGGUUACGUCCUGGAAACUGCGAGGGCAGGACUUCGCUUUCCCCGUGAAUGGCUGGGUUUCUCGCACUGGCUUCUCCACCACUGUGACUGUUGUUGUAUGAUUGCUUCUGUCUCAUCCUGUCCAGACUUCCGGGGUGAAGGUGGACGUGGCCUCCACAGCUUCCUUGCCAGGAGGAGGGAGGGAGGGGAGAGCCAGCCGGCCCCCUCGGGUGACACCAGCCUGCCAGGAUGCUGUGACAGGCGGGCGCCCGAGAGCCUGGCAGCUCUCCGCUGAGUCCGUCCUCGUCCUGCCCUGGCCCCUCAGGACGCUGCCCACCACCAUCUCUGGCUGUGCCCAUCCUGCAGGUGUCCUCAGUGUGGUUCUCCUUUCUGAACCUGCAGCCCACCCUCUGGGGCAGCGCCCGUCCUCUGCACGCCUCUCCUGGCGUUGGGCUCCCUCUGCUGUGCCGAGGGCCUGGUGUGAAGGCCUCCCCGCGGCCUCCUCUCCUGGUCCCUGCCGUGGUCCCUAGCUGGUCUCCCUGACCCUGUUUUUCUUCUUUGCUCAGUUCAUUUUAUGCACAUUCCAGAGUAAUCUUCCUAAGGCGUCCACACCCCACAGCCCUCCCUCUCCAAGAACCAUGGGCCAGAGUCCCAGCCAGCCCGCUGGUCACCCCCGCCCUGUCCUGCCUGGUAAGGAAACAAGACGCAGUGUGUCCAAAACCAGCACAUUCCACAGCCUUUAUGAGCCCAACUCUGAUUAAUAAUUGUUUCCAGAUUGCUUCUCUUGGCGUCCACAGACUGGAUUUUCCACGAAGGUGACCUAUGCUUUGUAAAGCCCAGAGUGAGGAGAGGGUGGCCUCCAGCAUGGCACUUUCUUAACUCAGCUCUCGGUGGUGUCAACACUAAGCUUCGGCUGGAGGGGCUGCAGGCCACUAGCCACUUUCCCCCAGGCCACUGGAGUGCCCACACUUACUGCAGUGGGGCCGGUGUGAGCCAGGGAGGGGCGCCCGGGACAAGCCCAUCACCACCUUUCUCAGCUGCCAGCCAAGGCCCCAGGGCCUAGGACAUGACGAGGGCCUGGGGCUUGGUAAGACAUGCAAACCCAGGCUUGAGGGCUGAUCCAUGUGUCCUGGGCUUCCUGCGGUGCCGCCUGUGGCUGUCACAGCUGACUCAGAGCUUGAGGCGUGCCUCUGGACAGCUGGUGUGGACCCUGUCUUCCCUCCUACGCCAGCCCUGCGUGGCCAGGCCCCCUGCUGCAGGAGCUGCUCCGUGAGGCGAGCCGGGGACAGGCUGUGGUCACUGUGGGCUUGGUUUGCUGGCAGUCCUUCUCACUGGGUGGUGGCUGAGGCUGCCUCCCACCUGUGGAGGGACCCCUGACUGGGGCCUCUGACACCAUGAGCACUGUGGGAGCCGGCCAGCAUGGGAAGCCUCCCCUCGGCCACGUGCCCCCCGCCACACGGGUUAGGAUGAAAUGUGCUUCUGUGGCAGGUCACUGUGCCAGGCACCCCUCUGUUAGGCCCAGCUGAGCAGCAGGCCUCCAGGGGGCAGGAGGUGUGGGGGACCCCAGCUGGCCACCCUCCCUUUUAAAGAGGGGUCUACACAGGUGAACCAAGUCCCUCAGGCGGGCUGAGGUACAAGUGUGGAGCUGGGCGGGGACGCGCUCCGUCCUCCUGGUUGGUUGCCUGUUCCGCGGCUCCGCCUUCCUGAUGCCUCCGUUGAGGUGGCAGAUGGUGGUUGGGCCGGGGAGUCAGGGGCGUUGGGACCCAUCCAGCCCUGCCCCUGGAGGGGCAACAGGCCAGCUGCCCACGCACAUGCCCCUCAAGGGCAGGCUCCCGCUGCCGAGCCUCUGUUGACCCUGCAUGCUGGGCCCUGUGGUUGGCGAUCGCUGUGGCCCCGGUUGGCUUGACUUGUGCCCCCGAGGGUCCCCAGGGCACUGCUACUCCUGGGG